rnacentral:tRNA from 1 species
GCACUGAUGGUUCAAUGGUAGAAUUCUUGCCUUCCCUGCAGGAGACCAAGGUUCGAUUCCUGGCUGGUGUA